rnacentral:rRNA from 1 species
GUAGGUGGCGAGCGUUGUCCGGAUUUACUGGGCGUAAAGAGCGCGCAGGCGGUCGUUCAAGUCGCGUGUGAAAGCCCCCGGCUCAACUGGGGAGGGUCACGCGAUACUGAUCGACUCGAAGGCAGGAGAGGGAAGUGGAAUUCCCGGUGUAGUGGUGAAAUGCGUAGAUAUCGGGAGGAACACCAGUGGCGAAGGCGACUUCCUGGCCUGUUCUUGACGCUGAGGCGCGAAAGCUAGGGGAGCAAACGGGAUUAGAUACCCCGGUAGUCCUAGCCGUAAACGAUGGACACUAGGUGUUGGUGGUAACAACCCCGCCAGUGCCGAAGCUAACGCAUUAAGUGUCCCGCCUGGGGAGUACGGCCGCAAGGCUA